UGAGUACGAGAUGCUACGGCAUCGAAGCAGUCUAUGUCAUACUUCCAAGAAGAGCUUGCACUGUCAUAAACAAAGAAUGCCUGUACCAUAACCGACACAGGUGGGUAGGUAGAGUAUACUAAGGGGCGCGAGAUAACUCUCUCUAAGGAACUCGGCAAAAUGACUCCGUAACUUCGGGAGAAGGAGUGCCUUAUUUAUAAGGUUGCAAUAACAAGAUCCAAGCAACUGUUUACCAAAAACACAGGUCUCCGCGAAGUCGUAAGACGAUGUAUGGGGGCUGACGCCUGCCCAGUGCCAGAAGGUUAAAGAAGUUGGUUAGCAUUCGCGAAGCUGAUAACUGAAGCCCUGGUGAACGGCGGCCGUAACUAUAACGGUCCUAAGGUAGCGAAAUUCCUUGUCGGGUAAGUUCCGUCCCGCACGAAAGGCGUAAUGAUUUGGAUACUGUCUCGGAGAGGGGCUCGGUGAAAUAGACUUGUCUGUGAAGAUGCGGACUACCUGCACCUGGACAGAAAGACCCUAUGAAGCUUUACUGUAACUUGAAAUUGAAAUUGGACUUUAUUUGCGCAGUAUAGGUGGGAGGCGUUGAGAAUAACUUUGCGGGGUUAUUGGAGCCAUCAGUGAGAUACCACUCUUGUAAUGUUAGAUUUCUAACUUUGUAUCAUUAUCUGGUCAAAGAACAGUUUCAGGCGGGCAGUUUGACUGGGGCGGUCGCCUCCCAAACGGUAACGGAGGCGCACAAAGGUUUCCUCUGAACGGGUAGAAAUCGUAUCUAGAGUGUAAAGGCAUAAGGAAGCUUGACUGUGAGACCUACAAGUCGAGCAGGGACGAAAGUCGGUCUUAGUGAUCUGACGGUGCUGAGUGGAAAGGCCGUCACUCAACGGAUAAAAGUUACUCUAAGGAUAACAGGCUGAUCUCCCCCAAGAGUUCACAUCGACGGGGAGGUUUGGCACCUCGAUGUCGGCUCAUCGCAUCCUGGGGCGGUAGUACGUCCCAAGGGUUGGGCUGUUCGCCCAUGAAAGCGGUACGCGAGCUGGGUUCAGAACGUCGUGAGACAGUUCGGUCCAUAUCCGGUGUAGGCGUUAGAAUAUUGAGAGGAGCCUUCUCUAGUACGAGAGGACCGAGAAGGACAUACCUCUGGUGUACCAGUUAUCGUGCCAACGGUAAACGCUGGGUAGCUAUGUGUGGAGUGGAUAACCGCUGAAAGCAUCUAAGUGGGAAGCCCACCUCAAGAUAAG
rnacentral:rRNA from 1 species